CUCAGGGCGUCACAUACGGUUAGCGCGGACCAUCCUGAUUUUGAUGCUGAUAGAUGUCAAGGGAGAGAAAACAGGCCACUCCACUGGUGGGGGGCCUCGGUCAGAUCACCUCACAGCCUCUGGGUCUCAGUUUCCACACCUUUAAAAAGGAGGGCUACCUUCCAAGGUGUUGGUACAGUAGGGGGACCACCAGGGUGUUGGGGCAGUCAGAGGCUGGCAGCUGUCCUACCGCUGUGUUGGGCAAGCUCCUAAGUGGGAAUAGUAUCAAGUUCAAGAUGAAGGUUGCCAUCAUCCAGCUAACUCGUCUUUUCUGUUGCAUGCCAAGAGAACCUU